GAGUUGUAAUUUGCAGAGGAUGCUUUUGGCGCGGUGCCUUCCGAGUUCCCUGGAACGGGACGCCAUAGAGGGUGAGAGCCCCGUCUGGUUGGAUACCAAGCCUUUGUAAAGCUCCUUCGACGAGUCGAGUAGUUUGGGAAUGCUGCUCUAAAUGGGAGGUAUAUGUCUUCUAAAGCUAAAUACCGGCCAGAGACCGAUAGCGCACAAGUAGAGUGAUCGAAAGAUGAAAAGCACUUUGGAAAGAGAGUUAAACAGCACGUGAAAUUGUUAAAAGGGAAGCGUUUAUGACCAGACUUGGGCCGGUUAAUCAUCCAGCGUUCUCGCUGGUGCACUUUGCCGGUCCAGGCCAGCAUCAGUUCGCUGCGGGGGAUAAAGGCGUCGGGAAUGUGGCUCCUCCGGAGUGUUAUAGCCCUUCGCGCAAUACCCUGCGGUGGACUGAGGUUCGCGCAUCUGCAAGGAUGCUGGCGUAAUGGUCAUCAACGACCCGUCUUGAAACACGGACCAAGGAGUCGUCUUCGUAUGCGAGUGUUCGGGUGUAAAACCCCUACGCGUAAUGAAAGUGAACGCAGGUGAGAGCUUCGGCGCAUCAUCGACCGAUCCUGAUGUUCUCGGAUGGAUUUGAGUAAGAGCAUACGGGGCCGGACCCGAAAGAAGGUGAACUAUGCCUGUAUAGGGUGAAGCCAGAGGAAACUCUGGUGGAGGCUCGCAGCGGUUCUGACGUGCAAAUCGAUCGUCAAAUAUGGGCAUGGGGGCGA
rnacentral:rRNA from 1 species